UCAAAACAUUAAACAAAUUUUUCUCGGCCUAGAAGCAACAACGAUAAAUUUCACCAGAAAUAUCUAUUUUCAUGGCAGUUUCGUAUCAUAAGAUGCGAAAUAUACAUUGUUUCGUUGUUUUCGCUAUGAAGGUUAUAAACGAGAUUUGCAGCGGAUUGUCUUCGAAGGCGGGUUUUUCAAUUUAGUUACAAGUACUCCACUUCAGUAAUCGACACCCAGCCUAAUCUUCCGAAAAACUGAUUUCCAGGACCACCAUGAACGGAUGUUUGCAAAGUACCACAUCGGUAUGCCGUGCAAAGAGAGCGGUAAAGUUUCUUUGUAACGGUGGAAAGUUGGAAAACAUGGAUGUAUUGGGCAUACCUUUCACAAGCCAUUCCAUGAAUUUCAACAUCACGAGUGAACCAUACAGGGCAUUUUCCAAUUUCCUUUAAGUACCAUAAAGUAGAGCGUUAUGAAUUCAUGAG